GCUUCCUUAGUAUAAUGGUUAGUACAUCGGUCUCAUAAUCUGAUCGAGCAUAGCUCGAGCGAUCCGAUAAUCUGAGUUCGAUUCUCAGAGGGAGCA